rnacentral:tRNA from 1 species
GGUCUCUUAGCUUAACUGGAUAGAGCGCGGCCCUCCGAAGGCCAAGGUCGGGGUUUGAGUCCCUGAGAGAUCACCA